AUUGAACGCUGGCGGCAGGCCUAACACAUGCAAGUCGAGCGGAUGAAGGGAGCUUGCUCCUGGAUUCAGCGGCGGACGGGUGAGUAAUGCCUAGGAAUCUGCCUGGUAGGGGGGGAUAACGUCCGGAAACGGGCGCUAAUACGGCAUACGUCCUGAGGGAGAGAGAGGGGGGGCUUCGGACCGCCCGCUAGCAGAUGAGCCUAGGUCGGAUUAGCUGGUUGGUGGGGUAAAGGCCUACCGAGGCGACGCUCCGUAACUGGUCUGAGAGGAUGAUCAGUCACACUGGAUCUGAGACACGGUCCAGACUCCUGCGGGAGGCAGCAGUGGGGACUAUUGGACAAUGGGCGAAAGCCUGAUCCAGCCAUGCCGCGUGUGUGAAGAAGGUCUUCGGAUUGUAAAGCGCUUUAAGUUGGGAGGAAGGGCAGUAAGUUAAUACCUGGCUGUUUUGACGUUACCAACAGAAUAAGCCCCGGCUAACUUCGUG
rnacentral:rRNA from 1 species